GCCCUUAUAGCUCAGUGGUAGAGCGCAGCACUCGUACGCUUCAUGUAAUGAGUUCAUGCUGAGGUCCAUCGUUCAAUCCGGUGUGGGGGCA